UGGCGGGGGCAAAGGCUGUUCACCUUCCUCGCAGUUGUUGUUGUUGUUGUGCGGGGGCGGCGGCUGCUCUACUAAAUGAGACGACAUCGUCGCGCUGCUGGAGGAGCCGCGGCCGCAGCAGGACCGUCUCCGGUUCUCGGGCAGCAACACAACAAGCCGAGUCCCCCGCCCCCUUUUGUGCGCCUGCGCAGUCCCUCCCCCGCCUCUGACGUCAGGGCCCGCUCGGGCCACGUGAUGACAACACAACAAGCGGCGGGGCGGGGAGGAGGCGUUCCCGGGCGAGCUCGGGACCCCGAGACGCGGGAGUCGCGCUGACACGCGCGCCUGGAAUGAGUUCUUGCGUGUCAUCUGUACAGGCCUGGGGGAGUGACCAACGCGGCUGGCACGGAGAUAGAGGUUAGGGGAGAAGCGUGUAAUGAGGAGGCGUGGAGGUCCAAGGCACUUUACCUUUUUGGAACACUCUGAGAACUACCAGAAGCUACACAUGCUAUGCCAAUAAACUGCCUAUGUUUUAAGCGUGCACAAAAAUUUGCAUAUAACUUCAGAAGGUAUGGACAGCACCUCACUUCCAGGUUAAAACCUUAUCCCAGAAGGCCACCAUGGUCAGUGGCAUCAGGAGAAAAGAAUAUUCUUAAGAUACUGGUGUUUCUUACUAUUCAUCUUGCCAAAAGACAACAAAAGAAAAAAUUUUGGAAACAGCCAACCAGGGAUGCCUAGGUGCCUCAGUCAGUAGGGCAUCUGCCUCAGAUCAAGAUCUCAAUGUCUCCGGAUAGAGCCCUGCACUGGGCUCCCUGCAGGGGAGGGAGCUGCUUCUCCAUCUCCCUCUGCCUCCUGCUCCCCCUCCUUGUGUUCGCCCUCUCUU